UACAGAGGGGGCAAGCGUUAUUCGGAAUUAUUGGGCGUAAAGGGCGCGUAGGCGGCCUGGCAAGUGGAUGGUGAAAUCCCUCGGCUUAACCGAGGAACUGCCAUCCAGACUGCUUGGCUUGAGACCGGGAGAGGUGAGUGGAAUUCCCAGUGUAGCGGUGAAAUGCGUAGAUAUUGGGAGGAACACCAGUGGCGAAGGCGGCUCACUGGACCGGUACUGACGCUGAUGUGCGAAAGCGUGGGGAGCGAACAGG
rnacentral:rRNA from 1 species